GGGUAAGUAUGCAAAUGGCUGAAGCAAGCGGUCUGUAAAACCGUGACUUAAGAAACGAUGCUGGUUCGAGUCCAGCCUUGCCCACCA
rnacentral:tRNA from 1 species